CCUACGAGGUGCAGCAGUGGGGAAUAUUGGGCAAUGGGCGCAAGCCUGACCCAGCAACGCCGCGUGAAGGAAGAAGGCUUUCGGGUUGUAAACUUCUUUUCUGCGGGACGAAGAAAGUGACGGUACCUCCGGAAUAAGCCACGGCUAACUACGUGCCAGCAGCCGCGGUAAUACGUAGGUGGCAAGCGUUAUCCGGAUUUAUUGGGUGUAAAGGGCGUGUAGGCGGGAAAGCAAGUCAGAUGUGAAAACUCAGGGCUCAACCCUGAGCCUGCAGUUGAAACUGUUUUUCUUGAGGGCUGGUGAGGCAAUCGGAAUGCCGGGUGUAGCGGUGAAAUGCGUAGAUAUACGGAGGAACACCAGUGGCGAAGGCGGAUUGCUGGACAGUAACUGACGCUGAGGCGCGAAAGCGUGGGGAGCAAACAGGAUUAGAUACCCCUGUAGUC
rnacentral:rRNA from 1 species